GAAGGACAUUUAUCUCGCCCUCUCUCGCUCAGUCACCCUCUACUCCUGUACCCGGCAUUACGCCACGUGUCAUUCGCUGGCGACGCGCAUCACGCGUACCCGUCUGUCCUUCACUCGCUCUGUGCCAGGACUGUAAUGUGAAUUUCCCUUCCCUUCCCCGCCGUUCACUUUCACCCUCCCUUUUCCUCCUCAUCCUUUGCAGACUCUCGGGUUUCUCUAGGUUCUUCUUCCGAUUCUAAUAAUGCUCUGCUCCGCUCCGGCACAAAAGUCCGGUUUAAACUGGCUCGACCGGCUCCGCCAUAACAAGGGCAUCCCGACAGGCGACGAUGUCGACCUCGAUUCUUUUCUCGCCAACCAUCCAAACCCUACAUCCUCCGAUUCAUUCCAGUCCAUCUCCGAACCCACGCACUCGUCAAAAAAUCGGACUCGGGGUUCCGAGAUCUCCGCCGCCGAUGUCCGCCCCCCAUUGAGCAGCGUACUUGCUGAGCUCUUCAACAUGGGCGGUCGCCUCAGCUCCGGGAAGAAGUGUCCCAGGAAGCAGACAAACCCCAAAUUCUUCUUCGCCUCUUCGCUGAGGAACACUGGUAUCGUCGACUGUGCGCGAAAAGACGACAAUGUCCCUGCUCCGAAUUCAUUCAACAACGAUACGGCGAAGCGGCAAGAGGAAGGUUUGGAUUGUUGCGAUGUGGAGGAGGAGAAAGAAAAUGAUGGUAACGAGUUGAGAGGGUUUUCCAAAUCUGAGGUGACGAUGAUCGAUACGAGUUGCCCGGGGUGGAAGGCUGAGAAGUUUGUCUUUCGAAAAGGUAAUGUGUGGAAAGUCAGAGAGAGGAAAGGGAAAUCGAAGUCUUUUUCCAAGAAGAAGAACAAAGGGACUCUUGGGUUUGUUAAUCAUGAUAGCGCUGGUGCGAAGAAGGAACCCAAGUUUAUGGAGUAUCAGUUUGGAUCGAAUAGGGAGGAGAGUUUAUAACUCCGUCCACCUAACAGUUUGGUCGCUUUGUCAUUCUGGGGUUCUGUCAGUGAGCUUAGAUAGACACUUCGGUGUGUGUUUGGUGACUUCAGGAUCUGAGGAAAUGCUGGAAUUGAUUAGGGUGAGAUAGCGGGCAAGUGCCUAAGGAUGUUCGUUUUUCUUCUGCUUUCAUAUGGGGGAACAGGAUGCUCAGCACGAGGGGAAAAGUCGGCGAAGACACAAGAUGAUCCGA